rnacentral:rRNA from 1 species
GCAAGUCGAACGGCAGCACGGGUGCUUGCACCUGGUGGCGAGUGCGAACGGUUGAGUAAUACAUCGGAACGUACCUUAUCGUGGGGGAUAACGCAGCGAAAGUUGCGCUAAUACCGCAUACGCCCUGAGGGGGAAAGCGGGGGACCGUAAGGCCUCGCGCGAUUAGAGCGGCCGAUGUCUGAUUAGCUUGUUGGUGAGGUAAAAGCUCACCAAGGCGAUGAUCAGUAGCUGGUCUGAGAGGACGAUCAGCCACACUGGGACUGAGACACGGCCCAGACUCCUACGGGAGGCAGCAGUGGGGAAUUUUGGACAAUGGGGGCAACCCUGAUCCAGCAAUGCCGCGUGAGUGAAGAAGGCCUUCGGGUUGUAAAGCUCUUUUGUCAGGGAAGAAACAGCAGCUCUAACACAGUCUGCGAAUGACGGUACCUGAAGAAUAAGCACCGGCUAACUACGUGCCAGCAGCCGCGGUAAUACGUAGGGUGCGAGCGUUAAUCGGAAUUACUGGGCGUAAAGCGUGCGCAGGCGGUUAUACAAGACAGGCGUGAAAUCCCCGGGCUUAACCUGGGAAUGGCGUCUGUGACUGUAUAGCUAGAGUGUGUCAGAGGGGGGUGGAAUUCCACGUGUAGCAGUGAAAUGCGUAGAUAUGUGGAGGAACACCAAUGGCGAAGGCAGCCCCCUGGGAUAACACUGACGCUCAUGCACGAAAGCGUGGGGAGCAAACAGGAUUAGAUACCCUGGUAGUCCACGCCCUAAACGAUGCUGACUAGUUGUUGGGAAUUUACAUUCUCAGUAACGUAGCUAACGCGUGAAGUCAGCCGCCUGGGGAGUACGGUCGCAAGAUUAAAACUCAAAGGAAUUGACGGGGACCCGCACAAGCGGUGGAUGAUGUGGAUUAAUUCGAUGCAGCGCGAAAAACCUUACCUACCCUUGACAUGUCACUAACGAAGUAGAGAUACAUU